AGAAGAAGAAGAGAAUCGUUAAGGUGUCCCUCACCCUCAUUGAGCCUCACAGCUCUAUCCCUAAAAGGUUGACCAUGAAUUACAAUCCAAGAACAGUUAUUCCUUAUAACACCCAGGAUUCAGAUCUCUUCAUGGAAAAGGGAAAUAGUUUAGAAGGAGAGGGUCGAGAGAGAUUUACUAAGGCUGUAGAUACAGUUCACAACUACAUGACGAAGAAGAUCCUGGGUACUCUAAGGAAAGAGGACACAGAAUUCAUGGAGAGUC